GAUUUCGUACGUCCAUGGACUUGUGGGUUCGGGCUGUUUUUACACUACCGGGUUAGGUGUGGUUCUAAUUCCGGGACUUUUUGUUAACCCGCCGUGUACUUAUUAUACGUACUGAUGUUUAAGUGUUCCCUCCGAGGGGUUAAGAACUAACGCCGCAUACGCGUCGACGACCAUUGUACGUAUUUGUUUUUAGCCUCUAUCAUUGUAGUGUCGUACGUACGAUGAGGGAGGCAAGGAUUUAUGAACAGAAAGAUCCGUAAAGUUUACUGAUAGUGUAUGCCUACAUACAUCUGUAUAAAAUCUCACAUUUAAGUGAGUAAAAUGAGGCAUACAUCAAUAAACAACUUUACGGAUUUUUCUGUUCAUAAAUCUUUGCCUCCUUCAUCAUAAACACCGGUCCCGACGUACCCUGUAUUCGUUCACCCUCUGCUGCCUCUCUCUCGCUUGACUUAGCCGUCACUGCUGCCGUGGUAGCUUCAAUCCGGAGCUUCGCUUCCGUCUGCGCAGCCUGCUCCUGCUGUUCCUCGAGGACCUGCGUCGCCGACCCUUCUGCCACUGCCGCGGCGGCGACGUUCGCACCCCAACCUCCGCCGUGUGCUUCUCCUCAGGCCUCGAGCCCCUCCUUGGCCGCCGCGCUGCUCUCCGCUCCUCUGCUUGGCCUUCCCCCAGACCCCACCUGCCGCCGCCGCCGCCACGUCGCCCCGACCCUGGGUGCACCCACCAGGGCCGAACAGACACAGAGCACACCCCUAACAAACCCACUCCAAACAGACGAACAGACGGAACAAACGCAAACCUAGACCUAGCUCGGUGGGCGCACACCUACGCAAGCUCUCUGCCAAGCCGAACGACAUUUACGCGAGCCGCGUGACCAGCAAGUUGAUUUUAUUUAAGACUAUGCAGGGACGCCACACCACCUGCGUCGGGUGCAUUGCUAGCGAGGGAACGCACGAUAGACGAGGAAAAAAAAACUCCCCACGCACGAUAGACGAGGAACAUAUAUGUCGGCAGCGAGAACAGGAGACAAGCAGGAAGGCGGAGCGAGCGAGGUCGGCAGUGGAGAGCAGGAGACAAGGAGCAAGACGGAGUGAGGUGGGCGGCGACGUGACGAAGACAUCUGGUGGUACUUCCACCAACAACCAACUCACACUCACUCUCGAGAUCAGGAAGUAGCUAGCGAGUAGAACAAGCAGUUACUUAAGACGCGGACAGUAGCAGUGGUUCUUUAGCGUGAUUAGCCAAGCAGCAGUCUAAACGGAAUGACAAAGUAGACGAGUUUCCUAGUAGAAAAAGAACUCCUUAACCGCAGUAGUCAACUAUUAGCUCAAAUGGAACAAUAAACUAGACGACCCGUAUAGUUGAGACGUCAUUCCUUUAAUCGACUCGGAAGAUAGUGGUUUAUUUUCCCAACACUACAGCGAUGCUGUCGACGACCCUACCAGCCUACCUCUCCAUUACGCCGGCCUCAGUUUCGGGACGAGCGCUGACUACGCGGUGUGACGACCAUAGAAGAGUCAACCACCACCAGAACGAAAGACCCACGAAACGGCGGAAGUGAUACCAGGUUCCUAUUGCCAAGGUUCCUCAGAAUCCACCCGUAGGACACCUCGCUAUCCGUGCUCGCGCUGCCGUCGGUACGAACACGCCGAGAAGUCGGGCCUCACACUUGGCGUCUUGUAUCGUCGAAAACUGUCUGGACUUAUGUUCGGACGUAUCACAGUACUUUUAGGUCACGGUCCAGAUGGUUCGGUAUACGCUCAAAAGACUAAGCCGGGAACCAUAGACGGAACGUUCUACAAAUACGUAUUUACAUGGAGGGGACUUUAACCUGUGAAGAUACAAGGGAUGUGAGACCGGCGACAAUAAAACAAGGCUUUGAUCCUUGAAAAAUGUAGUUUAAACCUCGACCAUGGAAAACGUAGUUUAAACCAAAGGCAACGA
rnacentral:rRNA from 1 species